rnacentral:pre_miRNA from 1 species
UAAUAUAUAUGUGUCAGAUUCUCAUUUAAUUAUGACAUAUCUCAUCUGAAUGCUAAUAAUCUUCAAUGUUUACAAACUUAGUUGCAUCAACAACCCCAUUUAUACUAGUAAUUGAAGAAGAAAAAAUA